UACGUAGGGUGCGAGCGUUAAUCGGAAUUACUGGGCGUAAAGCGUGCGCAGGCGGUUCGUGAUGUCUGAUGUGAAAGCCCCGGGCUCAACCUGGGAAUUGCAUUGGAAACUAGCGGGCUGGAGUGUGGCAGAGGGGGGUGGAAUUCCACGUGUAGCAGUGAAAUGCGUAGAGAUGUGGAGGAACACCGAUGGCGAAGGCAGCCCCCCUGGGCUAGCACUGACGCCUCAUGCACGAAAGCGUGGGGAGCAAACAGG
rnacentral:rRNA from 1 species